GAUGAACGCUGGCGGCGUGCCUAAUACAUGCAAGUCGAGCGAACAGACGAGGAGCUUGCUCCUCUGACGUUAGCGGCGGACGGGUGAGUAACACGUGGAUAACCUACCUAUAAGACUGGGAUAACUUCGGGAAACCGGAGCUAAUACCGGAUAAUAUAUUGAACCGCAUGGUUCAAUAGUGAAAGACGGUUUUGCUGUCACUUAUAGAUGGAUCCGCGCGGCAUUAGCUAGUUGGUAAGGUAACGGCUUACCAAGGCAACGAUGCGUAGCCGACCUGAGAGGGGGAAGGCCAACAGUGGAAGUGAGAAACGAUACAGAGACCGAGGGAAGGCAGAGGAAGGGAAUGUAGGGAAAUGGGGGAAAGCUUGACGAAGCAACGCGGGGUGGGUGAUGAAGGUCUUCGGAUGGUAAAACGCUGUUAUUGGGGAAAAACGAAUGUGUAAGUAACGAUGCACGUGUGAAGGUAACCGAAAAAGAAGGCCAGGCUAAACUAGGU
rnacentral:rRNA from 1 species